CCUACGGGUGGCAGCAGUAGGGAAUCUUCGACAAUGGGCGAAAGCCUGAUCCAGCAACGCCGCGUGGGUGAAGAAGGUCUUCGGAGUGUAAAACCCUGUUGUUAGAGAAGAAAGUGCGAGAGAGUAACUGUUCACGUUUGGACGGUAUCUAACCAGCAAGCCAAGCCUAACUACGUGACAGCAGCUGCGGCAAUAAGGAGGUGGCAAGCGUUAUCCGGAUUUAUUGGGUGUAAAGGGAGCGCAGGCGGUCGUUUAAGUCGGAUGUGAAAGCGUGCGGCUUAACCGUAGGAGUGCAUUGGAAACUGGGAGACUUGAGUGCAGGAGAGGUAAGUGGAAUUCGAGGUGUAGCGGUGAAAUGCGUAGAUAUUAGGAGGAACACCAGUGGCGAAGGCGGCUUACUGGACUGUAACUGACGUUGAGGCUCGAAAGCGUGGGGAGCAAACAGGAUUAGAUACCCUUGUAGUC
rnacentral:rRNA from 1 species